rnacentral:rRNA from 1 species
AUUGAACGCUGGCGGCAGGCCUAACACAUGCAAGUCGAGCGAGCGGCGGACGGGUGAGUAAUGUAUGGGGACUGCCCGAUAGAGGGGGAAAACUACUGGAAACGGUAGGUAAUAACGCAUACUAAUUGAUAAGACAUAUGGGAUUAGCUAGUUGGUGAGGUAAUGGCUCACCUGGUCGACGAUCCCUAGCUGGUCUGACAGGAUGAUCAGCCAAACUGGGACUGAGACCCGGCCCAGACUCCUACGGAGGCAGCAGUGGGGAAUAUUGCACAAUGGGCGCAAGCCUGAUGCAGCCAUGCCGCGUGGAUGAAGAAGGUCCUAGGGUUGUAAAGUACUUUCAGUCGGGAGGCGUUACCGACAGAAGAAGCACCGGCUAACUCCGUGCCAGCAGCCGCGGUAAUUC